GGCUCGGUGGCAUAGUUGGUAUCACACCCUGCUCUAGUGCUCUUGCACAAGUGCCUUUACAGGAGGUCCGGAGUUUGAUUCUCCAUCGAGCUG